rnacentral:rRNA from 1 species
GUGGGUAACCUACCCUGUACACACGGAUAACAUACCGAAAGGUAUGCUAAUACGGGAUAAUAUAUUUGAGAGGCAUCUCUUAAAUAUCAAAGGUGAGCCAGUACAGGAUGGACCCGCGUCUGAUUAGCUAGUUGGUAAGGUAACGGCUUACCAAGGCGACGAUCAGUAGCCGACCUGAGAGGGUGAUCGGCCACAUUGGAACUGAGACACGGUCCAAACUCCUACGGGAGGCAGCAGUGGGGAAUAUUGCACAAUGGGCGAAAGCCUGAUGCAGCAACGUCGCGUGAGUGAUGAAGGCCUUCGGGUCGUAAAACUCUGUCCUCAAGGAAGAUAAUGACGGUACUUGAGGAGGAAGCCCCGGCUAACUACGUGCCAGCAGCCGCGGUAAUACGUAGGGGGCUAGCGUUAUCCGGAUUUACUGGGCGUAAAGGGUGCGUAGGCGGUCUUUCAAGUCAGGAGUGAAAGGCUACGGCUCAACCGUAGUAAGCUCUUGAAACUGGGAGACUUGAGUGCAGGAGAGGAGAGUGGA